AGUGAACGCUGGCGGUAGGCCUAACACAUGCAAGUCGAACGGCAGCACAGUAAGAGCUUGCUCUUACGGGUGGCGAGUGGCGGACGGGUGAGGAAUACAUCGGAAUCUACUUUUUCGUGGGGGAUAACGUAGGGAAACUUACGCUAAUACCGCAUACGACCUACGGGUGAAAGCAGGGGAUCUUCGGACCUUGCGCGAUUGAAUGAGCCGAUGUCGGAUUAGCUAGUUGGCGGGGUAAAGGCCCACCAAGGCGACGAUCCGUAGCUGGUCUGAGAGGAUGAUCAGGCAAACCGGAACUGAGACACGGUCCCGAACCCCAAGGGAGGCAGCAGUGGGGAAUUUUGGAACAUGGGCGCAAGCCUGAUCCAGCCAUACCGCGUGGGUGAAGAAGGCCUUCGGGUUGUAAAGCCCUUUUGUUGGGAAAGAAAAGCAGCAGGUUAAUACCCCGCUGUUCUGACGGUACCCAAAGAAUAAGCACCGGCUAACUUCGUG
rnacentral:rRNA from 1 species